rnacentral:ncRNA from 2 species
GGCAAGAGUAGAAGCGUUCAGCUGCCCUGUCCGGCCGGUGUGCCGGGCCUGGGGCAGACCGGGAAUUGCUCUUGAG